rnacentral:rRNA from 2 species
AAAGUCUGAUGGAGCACGCCGCGUGAGUGAAGAAGGGUUUCGGCUCGUAAAACUCUGUUGUUAAAGAAGAACAUAUCUGAGAGUAACUGUUCAGGUAUUGACGGUAUUUAACCAGAAAGCCACGGCUAACUACGUGCCAGCAGCCGCGGUAAUACGUAGGUGGCAAGCGUUGUCCGGAUUUAUUGGGCGUAAAGCGAGCGCAGGCGGUUUUUUAAGUCUGAUGUGAAAGCCUUCGGCUUAACCGAAGAAGUGCAUCGGAAACUGGGAAACUUGAGUGCAGAAGAGGACAGUGGAACUCCAUGUGUAGCGGUGAAAUGCGUAGAUAUAUGGAAGAACACCAGUGGCGAAGGCGGCUGUCUGGUCUGUAACUGACGCUGAGGCUCGAAAGUAUGGGUAGCAAACAGGAUUAGAUACCCUGGUAGUCCAUACCGUAAACGAUGAAUGCUAAGUGUUGGAAGGUUUCCGCCCUUCAGUGCUGCAGCUAACGCAUUAAGCAUUCCGCCUGGGGAGUACGGCCGCAAGGCUGAAACUCAAAGGAAUUGACGGGGGCCCGCACAAGCGGUGGAGCAUGUGGUUUAAUUCGAAGCUA